rnacentral:tRNA from 1 species
UUUUGUAUUAUAAAAGAUUUUGAAAAUCUUUUCAGAAAAUAAUUUUUCACUUAGUGA